rnacentral:lncRNA from 1 species
UAUACCCUCCCAUCUCUUUCGCUGUUCUAUACUUGGUGGACGGAGUGGUGGUUUUAGGUGGUUUCCCUCUUUGUUUCAGAGCGACAACUUGCUGCUACAAUUCAAAGUUCGAUCAAAACUGGGCUGAGGACUGUGCGACUGCUACUAGUGGUUUUCCACCAUCGGUAGGCUCUGAGUUGGUGGUUUUUGGUGGUGCUCCUUUACAACAGAACUAUAUUUUUGCUAUCUGUAUAUGGUUGUAACGCUAUAUACAAUAUGAAUGCUGGUAAAGAUAAUACAAGUCGUGGUGGUGGUCGUAGUAGUGGUAGUGGUGUUGGUAGUGGUCUGCGUGGAGGAAAGACAAAACAAGUUUCAAGGAAACGCAUUGAUUGUGGCAUUGUUAUUCGGGAGCCUGAUCUUAGUAGAGGUGAUGGUGAUGCUGUUUCUG